UAAUACAUAGCAUCGCAUGAUGCAACGUUGAAAGUUGGCCUUUGGCUAACACUGUAGGAUGGGCCCGCGGCGCAUUAGCUAGUUGGUAAGGUAACGGCUUACCAAGGCCACGAUGCGUAGCCGACCUGAGAGGGUGAUCGGCCACACUGGGACUGAGACACGGCCCAGACUCCUACGGGAGGCAGCAGUAGGGAAUCUUCCGCAAUGGACGAAAGUCUGACGGAGCAACGCCGCGUGAGUGACGAAGGCCUUCGGGUCGUAAAGCUCUGUUGUUAGGGAAGAACAAGUACCGUUCGAAUAGGGCGGUACCUUGACGGUACCUAACCAGAAAGCCACGGCUAACUACGUGCCAGCAGCCGCGGUAAUACGUAGGUGGCAAGCGUUGUCCGGAAUUAUUGGGCGUAAAGCGCGCGCAGGCGGUCUCUUAAGUCUGAUGUGAAAGCCCACGGCUCAACCGUGGAGGGCCAUUGGAAACUGGGGGACUUGAGUGCAGAAGAGGAGAGUGGAAUUCCACGUGUAGCGGUGAAAUGCGUAGAUAUGUGGAGGAACACCAGUGGCGAAGGCGGCUCUCUGGUCUGUAACUGACGCUGAGGCGCGAAAGCGUGGGGAGCGAACAGGAUUAGAUACCCUGGUAGUCCACGCCGUAAACGAUGAGUGCUAGGUGUU
rnacentral:rRNA from 1 species